rnacentral:rRNA from 1 species
AUACGUAGGGUGCAAGCGUUAAUCGGAAUUACUGGGCGUAAAGCGUGCGCAGGCGGUUUUGUAAGACAGAGGUGAAAUCCCCGGGCUCAACCUGGGAACUGCCUUUGUGACUGCAAGGCUAGAGUGCGGCAGAGGGGGAUGGAAUUCCGCGUGUAGCAGUGAAAUGCGUAGAUAUGCGGAGGAACACCGAUGGCGAAGGCAAUCCCCUGGGCCUGUACUGACGCUCAUGCACGAAAGCGUGGGGAGCAAACAGGAUUAGAUACCCUGGUAGUCCACGCCCUAAACGAUGUCAACUGGUUGUUGGGUCUUCAUUGACUCAGUAACGAAGCUAACGCGUGAAGUUGACCGCCUGGGGAGUACGGCCGCAAGGUUGAAACUCAAAUGAAUUGACGGGG